GACGAACGCUGGCGGCGUGCUUAACACAUGCAAGUCGAACGGAAAGGCCCUGCUUUUGUGGGGUGCUCGAGUGGCGAACGGGUGAGUAACACGUGAGUAACCUGCCCUUGACUUUGGGAUAACUUCAGGAAACUGGGGCUAAUACCGGAUAGGAGCUCCUGCUGCAUGGUGGGGGUUGGAAAGUUUCGGCGGUUGGGGAUGGACUCGCGGCUUAUCAGCUUGUUGGUGGGGUAGUGGCUUACCAAGGCUUUGACGGGUAGCCGGCCUGAGAGGGUGACCGGCGACAUUGGGACUGAGGUACGGCCCAGACUCCUACGGGAGGCAGCAGUGGGGAAUAUUGCACAGUGGGCGGAAGCCUGAUGCAGCAGCGCCGCGUGCGGGAUGACGGCCUUCGGGUUGUAAACCGCUUUCGCCUGUGACGAAGCGUGAGUGACGGUAAUGGGUAAAGAAGCACCGGCUAACUACGUG
rnacentral:rRNA from 1 species